rnacentral:rRNA from 1 species
UACGUAGGGUGCAAGCGUUGUCCGGAAUUAUUGGGCGUAAAGAGCUCGUAGGCGGUUUGUCGCGUCUGCUGUGAAAACCCGAGGCUCGACCUCGGGCCUGCAGUGGGUACGGGCAGACUAGAGUGCGGUAGGGGAGAUUGGAAUUCCUGGUGUAGCGGUGGAAUGCGCAGAUAUCAGGAGGAACACCAAUGGCGAAGGCAGAUCUCUGGGCCGUAACUGACGCUGAGGAGCGAAAGCAUGGGGAGCGAACGGG